ACGCUCGACACCUACGGGAGGCAGCAGUAGGGAAUCUUCCACAAUGGACGCAAGUCUGAUGGAGCAACGCCGCGUGAGUGAAGAAGGUUUUCGGAUCGUAAAGCUCUGUUGUUGGUGAAGAAGGAUAGAGGUAGUAACUGGCCUUUAUUUGACGGUAAUCAACCAGAAAGUCACGGCUAACUACGUGCCUGCAGCCGCGGUAAUCUGAGCGGGCUGGCAAGGC
rnacentral:rRNA from 1 species